CAUCUUUUUACAGUACAUGAAGCAAUAAAGACAUAUGCACAUGAGUAUAUUACAUUGUAUCUAAGUACAGCGUGGCAUAAUUAUACAAUCUGUAACUGUAGUGACCUCUUUCUUGCAGGAGGAAUGUCUAUGUGCCUCUUUUCGUAUUUUCUCUAUGAUGCACCAAACUAUAUUGUUGCAUAUAUUAUGUUAAAUGAACACUAUGGGGCCAGGAACACAAACAUGUAUUCCUGACCCUAUAGUGUCAGAACCACCAUGUCCCCCUCCUAAAUGUAGCAGAAAUCUUACUUUUAUUAAAGUCUGCUGCUGUCUCUGCCCCUGAUCUGCCUGCUGUCAUCAUCAGAAGUGGUGGUAAGAGCCAAUCACAAUGCUUUCCCAUAGGAUUGGCUGAAACUGUCAAGGAGGCAGAUCAGGGGCAGAGCGAGCACAAGUCAAACACAGCCCUGGCCAAUCAGCAUCUCCUCAUAGAGAUUAAUUGAGUCAAUGCAUCUCUAUGAGGAAAGUUCACUGUCUCCAUGUAGAGGGUGAAGACACUGAAUGUCAGUCACACUGUGCAGCACUGCCCCAGGACGCUCCUCUAUUAGCCAUCUGAGGACUGGCCAAUGGAG